rnacentral:rRNA from 1 species
UACGUAGGGGGCUAGCGUUGUCCGGAAUCAUUGGGCGUAAAGCGCGUGUAGGCGGUCCGGUAAGUCCGCUGUGAAAGCCAGGGGCUCAACCCUUGGAUGCCGGUGGAUACUGUCGGGCUUGAGUACGGAAGAGGCGAGUGGAAUUCCUGGUGUAGCGGUGAAAUGCGCAGAUAUCAGGAGGAACACCAACGGCGAAGGCAGCUCGCUGGGACGGUACUGACGCUAAGGCGCGAAAGCGUGGGGAGCAAACAGGG